UACGUAGGGUGCAAGCGUUAAUCGGAAUUACUGGGCGUAAAGCGUGCGCAGGCGGUUUUGUAAGUCUGUCGUGAAAUCCCCGGGCUCAACCUGGGAACUGCAUCUGUGACUGUAUAGCUAGAGUACGGUAGAGGGGGAUGGAAUUCCGCGUGUAGCAGUGAAAUGCGUAGAUAUGCGGAGGAACACCGAUGGCGAAGGCAAUCCCCUGGACCUGUACUGACGCUCAUGCACGAAAGCGUGGGGAGCAACGAGG
rnacentral:rRNA from 1 species